rnacentral:rRNA from 1 species
GUGCCUUCGGGAACUCUGAGACAGGUGCUGCAUGGCUGUCGUCAGCUCGUGUUGUGAAAUGUUGGGUUAAGUCCCGCAACGAGCGCAACCCUUAUCCUUGUUUGCCAGCGAGUCAUGUCGGGAACUCCCGGGGAGACUGCCGGUGAUAAACCGGAGGAAGGUGGGGACGACGUCAAGUCAUCAUGGCCCUUACGAGUAGGGCUACACACGUGCUACAAUGGCGCAUACAGAGGGCAGCAAGCUAGCGAUAGUGAGCGAAUCCCAAAAAGUGCGUCGUAGUCCGGAUUGGAGUCUGCAACUCGACUCCAUGAAGUCGGAAUCGCUAGUAAUCGUGAAUCAGAAUGUCACGGUGAAUACGUUCCCGGGCCUUGUACACACCGCCCGUCACACCAUGGGAGUGGGCUGCAAAAGAAGUGGGUAGUUUAACCUUUCGGGGAGGACGCUCACCACUUUGUGGUUCAUGACUGGGGUGAAGUCGUAACAAGGUAGCCCUAGGGGAACCUGGGGCUGGAUCACCUCCUUAUACGAAGAUAC